rnacentral:rRNA from 1 species
AGUCGAGCGAUGAACACCUUCGGGUGUGAAUUAGCGGCGAACGGGUGAGGAACACGUGAAGAAUCUGCCUUCAACUCUGGGAUAACUCCGGGAAACCGGGGCUAAUACCGGAUAUGAGCCUCGAUCGCAUGAUUGGGGCUGGAAAGUUUUUCGGUUGAAGAUGACUUCGCGGCCUAUCAGCUUGUUGGUGAGGUAAUGGCUCACCAAGGCGACGACGGGUAGCCGGCCUGAGAGGGCGACCGGCCACACUGGGACUGAGACACGGCCCAGACUCCUACGGGAGGCAGCAGUGGGGAAUAUUGGGCAAUGGAGGAAACUCUGACCCAGCGACGCCGCGUGAGGGACGAAGGCCUUCGGGUUGUAAACCUCUUUCAGUAGGGAAGAAGCGAAAGUGACGGUACCUACAGAAGAAGCACCGGCUAACUAUGUGCCAGCAGCCGCGGUAAUACAUAGGGUGCAAGCGUUGUCCGGAAUUAUUGGGCGUAAAGAGCUCGUAGGUGGUUCGAUACGUCGGAUGUGAAAAUCAGGGGCUCAACCCCUGACCUGCAUCCGAUACGGUCGAGCUAGAGUUUGGUAGGGGAGACUGGAAUUCCUGGUGUAGCGGUGGAAUGCGCAGAUAUCAGGAGGAACACCGAUGGCGAAGGCAGGUCUCUGGGCCAAUACUGACACUGAAGAGCGAAAGCGUGGGGAGCGAACAGGAUUAGAUACCCUGGUAGUCCACGCCGUAAACGGUGGGCGCUAGUUGUGCGAACCUUCCACGGUUUGUGCGACGCAGCUAACGCAUUAAGCGCCCCGCCUGGGGAGUACGAUCGCAAGAUUAAAACUCAA